AAGAACCACCAUGCCACUUAAAUUUGUCGAAUUUGGAGGAAAAUCCAAAAUUACCAUUGCUAACUUUCCUAAAUGUUUUAGAGAAUUAUAAUUUCAACUCCUAAAUUAUGUGAAUGAUCAUAGAUGCACUCAUAGGCUUUUAGUCAAUUCUUAUAGUAAUGACUAGCAACCUCUAAAUUAUUAAACUAACUAAGUUGCUAUUCUAAUUUUCUAACUCUUAUCACUUUAGUCCUAAUUAAUCUAAUUCAAGGAAUUAGACUAUGAUUUAUUCCAUCAAGGGUUGUAAUCCUAAAAAUUCUAUAAAACUAAAUUCCACUUAUAUAAAUCCUAAUCUAAUAUAUUUAA
rnacentral:lncRNA from 1 species